UGUGAACAUUGGCGUACAAGUAUCUGUUUGAGUAUUUGUUUUCAGUUUUUGGGUAUACACUGAGAAAUGAAAUUGCUGGAUCAUAUGAUAAUCUUAUGUUAAAAUCUUUGAGGAAUCACCAAGCUGUUUUUCAUAGCAGUUGCACAAGUUUAAAUUCCCACAAUAAAGAAAACAAGAAGAUGUUCUAUUCAUUAUUGAAAUUGAAGAUUUGAAGUUUCCAGCUAUUAUUAUGUCUAUUUCUCCUUUCAAUUAUAGUAAUAUUUGUUUCAUAUACUUUGGGACUCUUAUAUGUGGAAAAAGCAAGUCUUCGAUUGGGGUGCUGGAAGCUUUGAAAAAUUACUGUUAAAUUGAAGCAACUAAAACAUCUAGAGAUUGACAGAUCUUCCCACCAGAUCCUCACCUUGUUAAUGAAAGCACAGAAUCUGGAAAGUCUAAACAAGAUUAUUGGAAAAAUACAAUACACACAUAUCUAAUUUUGGAAAGUAAACUUUAUAACUCUUUUGUAGUCAGACAUUGUCAAUGUGUUUAUAGCCUCAGCAGCCUCAACAGCUACACUAAUUUUAAGUAUUAUUAAGUUUUACCCUGCAGAAAAGUCAAUUCAUUUUCAACAAUGUUUCAGUGAAAUUAAGUGGCAGAUUACUUUUUAAUUAAUCACAGUUUUUUGUUAAUGUUUCUGUUUUAUAAUGUUGAAUGCAUUUCUAAGGGAGCCACUGUGUCACACACACACACACACACACACACACACACACACAGAGAAUAAGAAAGAAAUAGAAUGGUUCCACUCUGAUAUUCUUGAGCUCUAGUUUCUUGCUGAGCUUGGAAGUAUUACUUUUCAACAUCUUAACGUUCUUUUGGCUUCUGCAAAGAUCUAUAUUCUUUAUUUGUUAAGUGCCUAAGAACAUUUGUUUAUUUAAAGGGAGUCUUAAAGGAUUAGAUAUGAAAUGUUUGCCUGGCUUAGAGAAACAUGGAUCUUUUCAAAUAAGUAGAUAUGCCACCAGCAAAAAACAUAUUGAAAAAUAAAAUGUUCACUGUGUCCAGUAUUUUUUUAGUAACUCUAUAUUUAUUUAUAGAAUUUGACUUUCUAAUCAUUGUCAGUGUACCUGUUUUAUGGCAAGCAAGGGCACCC